GGGCAAUUGCCCUUCACUCUGGGACAAGCCCUGGAAACGGGGUCUAAUACCGGAUACCACCUUCACUGGCAUCUGUGAAGGUUGAAAGCUCCGGCGGUGAAGGAUGAGCCCGCGGCCUAUCAGCUUGUUGGUGAGGUAAUGGCUCACCAAGGCGACGACGGGUAGCCGGCCUGAGAGGGCGACCGGCCACACUGGGACUGAGACACGGCCCAGACUCCUACGGGAGGCAGCAGUGGGGAAUAUUGCACAAUGGGCGAAAGCCUGAUGCAGCGACGCCGCGUGAGGGAUGACGGCCUUCGGGUUGUAAACCUCUUUCAGCAGGGAAGAAGCGAAAGUGACGGUACCUGCAGAAGAAGCGCCGGCUAACUACGUGCCAGCAGCCGCGGUAAUACGUAGGGCGCAAGCGUUGUCCGGAAUUAUUGGGCGUAAAGAGCUCGUAGGCGGCUUGUCACGUCGGGUGUGAAAGCCCGGGGCUUAACCCCGGGUCUGCAUUCGAUACGGGCUAGCUAGAGUGUGGUAGGGGAGAUCGGAAUUCCUGGUGUAGCGGUGAAAUGCGCAGAUAUCAGGAGGAACACCGGUGGCGAAGGCGGAUCUCUGGGCCAUUACUGACGCUGAGGAGCGAAAGCGUGGGGAGCGAACAGGAUUAGAUACCCUGGUAGUCCACGCCGUAAACGGUGGGAACUAGGUGUUGGCGACAUUCCACGUCGUCGGUGCCGCAGCUAACGCAUUAAGUUCCCCGCCUGGGGAGUACGGCCGCAAGGCUAAAACUCAAAGGAAUUGACGGGGGCCCCGCACAAGCAGCGGAGCAUGUGGCUUAAUUCGACGCAACGCGAAGAACCUUACCAAGGCUUGACAUACACCCGGAAGCAUUAGAGAUAGUGCCCCCCUUGUGGUC
rnacentral:rRNA from 1 species